GCCGAAGUGGUGGAAUGGCAGACACGCUAGCUUGAGGUGCUAGUGGGGCGACCCAUGGGGGUUCGAAUCCCCCCUUCGGCACCA
rnacentral:tRNA from 5 species